GAAACAUUGGCGGCUUGCUUACACAUGCAAGUCGACGAUGAACCACCUUCGGGUGGGGAUUAGUGGCGAACGGGUGAGUAACACGUGGGCAAUCUGCCCUGCACUCUGGGACAAGCCCUGGAAACGGGGUCUAAUACCGGAUACUGACCUGCCAAGGCAUCUUGGCGGGUCGAAAGCUCCGGCGGUGCAGGAUGAGCCCGCGGCCUAUCAGCUUGUUGGUGAGGUAAUGGCUCACCAAGGCGACGACGGGUAGCCGGCCUGAGAGGGCGACCGGCCACACUGGGACUGAGACACGGCCCAGACUCCUACGGGAGGCAGCAGUGGGGAAUAUUGCACAAUGGGCGCAAGCCUGAUGCAGCGACGCCGCGUGAGGGAUGACGGCCUUCGGGUUGUAAACCUCUUUCAGCAGGGAAGAAGCGAAAGUGACGGUACCUGCAGAAGAAGCGCCGGCUAACUACGUGCCAGCAGCCGCGGUAAUACGUAGGGCGCAAGCGUUGUCCGGAAUUAUUGGGCGUAAAGAGCUCGUAGGCGGCUUGUCGCGUCGGUUGUGAAAGCCCGGGGCUUAACCCCGGGUCUGCAGUCGAUACGGGCAGGCUAGAGUUCGGUAGGGGAGAUCGGAAUUCCUGGUGUAGCGGUGAAAUGCGCAGAUAUCAGGAGGAACACCGGUGGCGAAGGCGGAUCUCUGGGCCGAUACUGACGCUGAGGAGCGAAAGCGUGGGGAGCGAACAGGAUUAGAUACCCUGGUAGUCCACGCCGUAAACGGUGGGCACUAGGUGUGGGCAACAUUCCACGUUGUCCGUGCCGCA
rnacentral:rRNA from 1 species